UUCCCACAUAGGGAAGCGAACCCAGGCCUCCUGAGUGAAAACCAGAUAUCCUAGCCACUAGACCAUGUGGCCUGGA